AUACGUAGGGGGCAAGCGUUAUCCGGAUUUACUGGGUGUAAAGGGUGCGUAGGCGGGACUGCAAGUCAGACGUGAAAUACCGAGGCUUAACCUCGGGGCUGCGUUUGAAACUGUAGUUCUUGAGUGAAGUAGAGGUAAGUGGAAUUCCUAGUGUAGCGGUGAAAUGCGUAGAUAUUAGGAGGAACACCAGUGGCGAAGGCGGCUUACUGGACUGUAACUGACGUUGAGGCUCG
rnacentral:rRNA from 1 species